UACGUAGGGGGCAAGCGUUGUCCGGAUUUAUUGGGCGUAAAGAGCGUGUAGGCGGUUUGGUAGGUCCGCUGUGAAAACUCGAGGCUUAACCUCGAGAUGUCAUCGGAAACCAUCUGGCUAGAGUCCGGAAGAGGAGAGUGGAAUUCCUGGUGUAGCGGUGAAAUGCGCAGAUAUCAGGAAGAACACCAAUGGCGAAAGCAGCUCUCUGGGACGGUACUGACGCUGAGACGCGAAAGCGUGGGGAGCGAACAGG
rnacentral:rRNA from 1 species